GACGAACGCUGGCGGCGUGCCUAAUACAUGCAAGUCGAACGCACAGUUUAUACCGUAGCUUGCUACACCAUAGACUGUGAGUUGCGAACGGGUGAGUAACGCGUAGGUAACCUGCCUGGUAGCGGGGGAUAACUAUUGGAAACGAUAGCUAAUACCGCAUAAUAUUAAUUAUUGCAUGAUAAUUAAUUGAAAGGUGCAAUUGCACCACUACCAGAUGGACCUGCGUUGUAUUAGCUAGUAGGUGAGGUAACGGCUCACCUAGGCGACGAUACAUAGCCGACCUGAGAGGGUGAUCGGCCACACUGGGACGGAGACACGGCCCAGACUCCUACGGGAGGCAGCAGUAGGGAAUCUUCGGCAAUGGACGAAAGUCUGACCGAGCAACGCCGCGUGAGUGAAGAAGGUUUUCGGAUCGUAAAGCUCUGUUGUAAGAGAAGAACGGGUGUGAGAGUGGAAAGUUCACACUGUGACGGUAUCUUACCAGAAAGGGACGGCUAACUACGUG
rnacentral:rRNA from 1 species